AAAUCCUUACUUCUUUAAACAAAAUUUAAAUGCUAAAAAUAUUUUCUGAAAGAGUAUUCAUAAAACGUGAAGAGAAAUAAAGUCUAUCUGAAUUGCUUUUAAAAAUGUUACACUAUCAUAAAACCACCCUAAAAACAAAAAAUUACAUACAAAAGCAAAACAGAAAAAACUAAAAUUUAUCUUAAUUCUCGAAAGAGCAUUUCAGUUUUCUAAUUAUCAUUUUUUUUGAGAAAAAAGAAUAUCUAAUAAGAACCUUCUUAAAUGCUAGGUUAUAGUUAAAAGAUUGAUUAAAACAAUUGCAUUUUUUUUAAAAAAAAGACAAGCAAGUUAGAUCGAAACCAAAACAAUAUCAUUCUUAAUUUUCUUUAAAAAAAUAUCUAACACUGAAAAUCUUAAUCUAGUUUUUUCACAUUGCCAUAUUUUUAUAAAGUGUGAUGAUAAAGGAAUAAAGUUUCUUAAUGCCCUUUAAAAACUGCUGUGUUAUCAUAAAAAUGUUGCUAAAAGGAAAAGUUUUAAAAAAAAGCCAAAGAGAAACAGAAAAAAACAAACUAAAGUUAUUUUAUUUCUUACAGCGCACAUUCAAUGUUUAUGUUGCUGGUUAUCUAUAUUAAUGCACUGGAAAAAGUGAUAAUAAAAGAAUAAUGUCUAUCAGAAACACAACUUUAAAAUGUUACAUUCUUAUAAAAACAGAAAAAAGUAGAAAUGAAAGAAAACUUUCUUAAAUCUUAGAAGAAAAAGUGUUGAAGAAAUGAUGAAAUUGAUUUGCCUGAAUAAAAGAUUUUAAAAAUCAGUGGUAAAUAACUUGUGUUUCAACAUAAAGUAAUGUAGUUUUAAUUCUUCCCAUUUCGCUUUUCCAUUUGUCAUGAACAUAAAUUUGCAAGCCGUGUGCAAGUCUUAGAACUUAACAUGAACUGGAACUAUUUAUAAUAAUGUAUAAUUAAAAAUACCAUUUUAGAUUAUUCUUUAUUACUGGGCAUAAUCUGAAAUUUGCUUGUUGUAAUAAGAUUAUAAAAAAUAACAGGCUAAAUAACCAAAUUAGCAGUGUUUAAAUCGGUAACAACACUUACUUAAAAAUCAUAUUUUUACAUUAGGGAAAACUUGUUUUUAAAACAGAUUCACUGGGUUGGAGUUCCAAUUGUUUCAACUUUUAAAUUUAUUCUGUUACACCCAAUUGGUAGACUUUGUGAAUAAACACAGUUAAAAUUGUUAGAGGCUAUUUCCAUUUUUCAAAAUUUCCCAAUAUUUUUAACACUCAUUAAAUGGUGUUUUACUGUUAAUAUCCAUAGUUAUCUAGAUUUUCAUUUGUUAUUUUUCAGAGAUUAUUUUUUUAAACAUUCAAAAUUUCAUUUUUUUAAAAAGUUGUUAAAAAUUAUUUUGACUGUAGAAUUCUUAAGAUUUAGUUUCAUAACAUUUCAAUUAAAGAUACAUUUCAAAUAAAUUAUUUACAGUUAAAAUUGAUUUUUUCCUCCCACAGAGACUGUCUGUAGCUGAAAAACAGCCAUAUGAAAAACUUGCAGAGAAACAUAAAAAUGAUCCUUGCCUCCGUGGUGGCAAAUUAGCUUCUGAUGGAACUCGAGUAGAAGAUAAUCUGCGAGAAGCUAUGGAAAAAGAACAACAUAAGAAUAGGUUAAGACAAGCUGUCAAAAACUAUGUGAAUCCUGCCUGCAUGGAUUUA